rnacentral:lncRNA from 1 species
AUUUCCCAUCGUGCUGAGGCGGGUGGCAUGGCGGAGAAGGAUGACACCGGAGUUUGACGAAGAGGUGGUUUUUGAGAAUUCUCCACUUUACCAAUACUUACAGGAUCUGGGACACACAGACUUUGAAAUAUGUUCUUCUUUGUCACCAAAAACAGAAAAAUGCACAACAGAGGGACAACAAAAGCCUCCUACAAGAGUCCUACCAAAAUACCUGGGAUAUAGUAAUCACUCAAUGAAUAUAAACUGCACUUACUGGCAUGCUCAAGGAAUGGGCUAUUAAGGUGGAGCCAUCUCAUUCUUCAGUGAUACUAGGACUGUGGUAAGGAUAUUGGAUUCCGACUCGACUCAUUACAUACCAUCCUGCAACAGGAAGUCCUGUUACAAGAGGAUGUGGAGCUGAUUGAGCUACUUGAUCCCAGUAUCCUGUCUGCAGGGCAAUCUCAACAACAGGAAAAUGGACACCUUCCAACACUUUGCU